rnacentral:rRNA from 1 species
GACGAACGCUGGCGGCGUGCUUAACACAUGCAAGUCGAACGAAGUGGCGAACGGGUGAGUAAUACGUGGGUAACCUGCCCUCAUUUUUGGGAUAAGCCUUGGAAACGGGGUCUAAUACCGAAUAAAGGUGGAGGGGAUCGCGGACUAUCAGGUUGUUGUUGGGGUGAGGGGCUAUCAAGGCGGUGGCGGGUAGAGGGCCUGAGAGGGUGACCGGCAACAUUGGGACGCAGAUACGGCCCAGGGUGCUAGGGGAGGGGGAAGUGGGGGAUAGGGCACAAUGGGCGAAAGCCUGAUGCGGCGACGCCGCGUGGGGGAUGAAGGCUUUCGGGUUGUAAACCUCGUUCGCUAGCGAACGGGUAGGUGGAGAAGAAGCGCCGGCUAACUACGUGCCAGCAGCCGCGGUAAUAC